UUUACACUUCCUGUCAAUGUUUUUCUCCAAUCUCUCAUAGAAACAUCAUGUUGAUCAUUAAAUGCAUCAUUUGGGUCUUUUUUGUGUUCUUCAUUAAUAUAAUAGUCUGUUCCAGUGACAUGACUGACUUUGAAAGAGUAAAAUUGGAGGAGGGACGUGUCCUCAGUCUCCACCCACGACAUUAUGCUUUUAACAAAGAAAAUCAAAUACUGUGGAUAUUUUUGAAUGGCAGUCAAAGUUCUCGCAUUGCCCAGAUGCAUCAUGGUAAAUUUACACCCAUUAUGAUAAAAGAUUCACUGACAGAUUACAGCUGGACCAACAGACUGGAGCUUUAAACAUCUCAAACAUCAACACUGAUGAUUCUGGAGUUUAUGAAGCAUUAAUUAUCAACAAACGGAUUACAAAAAAGAAGUACAAAGUUGAUGUAUAUGCUCCUGUACCUGUCGUCAUCACAAGUUCACUGGUUAGUGUGCACCAGUUUCCAGCUUGCUUAUCUCUCUGCCUUCAGGUGCUUUUGUACUGUGAAAUCUGAAAUCUUUUGGUUUAUUUGAAGGGGGACUUGACUGCUUCAGCAUUUACCACUGCUAAUAAAUAUAUCUGUGAUAAGUUCUGUUAACACCACAAAAAAUCUGAUUGUCUUUUAAAUGUCUGAUUUAUCCUGUGAAUUGUAUGACACAUAAAAGCAUUAUAAAGUUUUUCUUAUUAACAGUAACUGUACUGGUCAAGACGUUAAAAUAGGCAAAUUGUUUGUGUGUAUACACAGUAUGCUAUAGUUCAAACAUUUAUGGUCACUUGACACAAAUGUUUUUCAUGAUCUUAAAACAUUUUACACAUUUGGCAGAUGCUUUUGGGAUACAUUUUUAUCUGUAUGUAUAUAAAUAUUCUUUGUAUUGUUGGGUUCUGUUUGGCUGCUUGUGCAAACCAA